rnacentral:lncRNA from 1 species
AGUCUUUAGUCCCACAUUGCUAGUGGAGGGGAGGGAUGACCAACUUAAAUAUGGAAGUUGUCUCCACUCCUCCAAGCUAAGUGUGUGGGGAGGGAAGGAGAGCUUCACAUGCGCGCGCUCACUUGCGUGAAUGGUCCGCCGAAAUCCAGCCCCUCGCCUUGCGGGGGCGCAGCUUCCUUUUGCCGUUUUAUUUUUUGAUUACUUGGUCUUUAAGUCAGCGAGAUAUAUGGAAUCCUAACCGGUUUAAAUCACGAUCGCGACGUGAGAAUCGUGGGCUCUCCUAUAUAUGCGACCUACCGGCCUCUACCAAAAACAGAUCUAUUCGAGCUAGGGUUUUUUCCUCCUCUCGUUGCUGCGCCGCCACCGUAGUCUACUCCAUCCCGAUUGUCGGCGUGUACCGGCGAUUGGGAGAGCAGGUCUCCGGAACUGUCGUCUUCAGCGAUCCUGCACCGGGAGAGGGCGAAUAAGGGUUUUGGGAAGCGCUCUGCGCGACUGCUCGAUCGCUUCCUCCACUUCGUCAAGUUCUUCGUCGACUCCUUCACCACGGCUUGUCUACCUCUUCAUCGCUCGGGCCUCACUCGUCGUCGCGAACAACGUCAGGCUGCUGAUCGUCGUCGCCUGCUGUACCCGGUAGUCGUCCAGGAGCCGAUCUUCAUCAAGAAAGAAACGUAUGAUCUCUUAACUCAAAUUAUG